rnacentral:tRNA from 1 species
ACCUUCGUGGUGUAAUGGUAGCGCACUCGGCGCAUAUUCGAGGGGUCCAGGUUCAAGUCCCGGCAGGGGCG